AUAUAUUUACAUAUAGUUGUAUCCAUGAAAUUCUAUUAACGUUUUCGACCGAUCGAGUUUGCACCAACUUGGGUUAGAAAAUGCUCCAGCAAGAAAAUUAGCAUCGAUGCCGUUGACUUAGAGAAUCAGCCUCUCCACUUUUGCUCCACCAAUUGACGCCGCUCUCUAUUAGCUGAACAAAAUAUCAAGAUUUUCUGUUGCGGGAUGAUUGUUGAUGCAUCGAGAGCGUUUUUUUUUAAGAUAUAAUGUACUUGUAUGUACUUUGAACCUGCUGAGUGGAAACUAUAGUUCGAAACGGCCGCAACAAAAACAAUUGUGAUUUACAUCUCUAGCAGCCAGGCUCUUGAUUUGUAAUUGACGUCGACUGAUCAGCGAUACCGUUUUCGGUCACUUGGCCACGUAUUAACGAAGACGUUAACAUUCUACAGCUAGCAUAUUGACAAAAAGGCAGAAAAAUGAUUAAUACAGGGAAGUUAGCCGGUCGCACUAUUUUUAUAACUGGAGCUUCGAGAGGUAUUGGGAAAAGUAUAGCUUUAAAAGCAGCGAAAGAUGGUGCAAAUGUUGUUAUUGCGUCAAAACAUGCUG